rnacentral:rRNA from 1 species
CCUACGGGGGGCAGCAGUGAGGAAUAUUGGUCAAUGGGCGGAAGCCUGAACCAGCCAAGUAGCGUGCGGGAUGAAGGCCCUACGGGUCGUAAACCGCUUUUGCACGGGGAUAACACCCUCCACUUGUGGAGGUCUGCAGGUACCGUGCGAAUAAGGGCCGGCUAAUUCCGUGCCAGCAGCCGCGGUAAUACGGAAGGCCCGAGCGUUAUCCGGAUUCAUUGGGCUUAAAGGGAGCGUAGGCGGGCCUUCAAGUCAGCUGUAAAAUCGCGGGGCUCAACCGCGCCCCGCCGUUGAAACUGGGGGUCUUGAGUGCAAAACAGGCAGGCGGAAUUCGUGGUGUAGCGGUGAAAUGCAUAGAUAUCACGAGGAACCCCGAUUGCGAAGGCAGCAUGCCGGGGUGCGACUGACGCUGAGGCUCGAAGGUGCGGGUAUCAAACAGGAUUAGAUACCCGUGUAGUC